AUUUCAGGCGUCUCGCUCAGCCCGGAUGACGAGUCUCUUUUCAUCGACGUGUGGGACCGAACUUAUGCAUGCUUGCUACAGUACAAUAGGAAGCAUACAUAUAAAUAUCUUGAUUCAUAUAUGUGAUUCGGCUUAACCUUCCUAUAAGCAAGUCUGUCAGCUUAGGGGAUAGGGAAUAAAUCAUUUUUGUUCAAAACUUUAACCGAACAUGUAUAGUAAAACAUUCCUUUUAUUUAAAGAGAGGC
rnacentral:lncRNA from 1 species